UACGUAGGGGGCAAGCGUUGUCCGGAAUCAUUGGGCGUAAAGAGCGCGUAGGCGGCCCUGUAAGUCCGCUGUGAAAGUCAAGGGCUCAACCCUUGGAUGCCGGUGGAUACUGCAGGGCUAGAGUCCGGAAGAGGCGAGUGGAAUUCCUGGUGUAGCGGUGAAAUGCGCAGAUAUCAGGAGGAACACCGAUGGCGAAGGCAGCUCGCUGGGCCAUUCCUGACGCUGAGACGCGAAAGCUAGGGGAGCGAACAGG
rnacentral:rRNA from 1 species